CCCCACUGCUAUCGGGGUAGGACUAAGACAUGCUAGUCGUGUGACUCAGGUAAAACGAGUCACGGCGUACAGCUCAGUAGCACGUGGCUAAUCUGCCCUUGGGACGAUAACAACCCCGGGAAACUGGGGCUAACUCUCGAUAGGUGAAGAACUCUGGAAUGAGUCUUUGCCUAAAUAACUUCACGUUAUCCUCGUGAAGUCGCCCAAGGAUGAGGCCGCGGCCGAUCAGGUUGUUGGCGAGGUAAUGGCUCACCAAGCCUUUUACCGGUGCGGGCCGUGAGAGCGGGAGCCCGGAGAUGGGUACUGAGAUAAGGACCCAGGCCCUACGGGGCGCAGCAGUCGCGAAACCUUUGCAAUACACGAAAAUGUGACAGGGCUAUCCCGAGUGCCAUCCGCUGAGGAAGGCUUUUACCCAGUAUAGAUCGCUGGGGGAAUAAGGAGAGGGCAAGUCUGGUGU
rnacentral:rRNA from 1 species